AGAGUUUGAUCCUGGCUCAGGACGAACGCUGGCGGCGUGCCUAAUACAUGCAAGUCGAGCGGAGAUUUGAGAGCUUGCUCUCAAAUUUCAGCGGCGGACGGGUGAGUAACACGUGGGCAACCUGCCCUGUAGACUGGGAUAACUUCGGGAAACCGAAGCUAAUACCGGAUAAUCUUUUGUGCCACAUGGCACGAAAGUAAAAGUUGGGUUUUACCUAACACUACAGGAUGGGCCUGCGGCGCAUUAGCUAGUUGGUAAGGUAAUGGCUUACCAAGGCGACGAUGCGUAGCCGACCUGAGAGGGUGAUCGGCCACACUGGGACUGAGACACGGCCCAGACUCCUACGGGAGGCAGCAGUAGGGAAUCUUCCGCAAUGGACGAAAGUCUGACGGAGCAACGCCGCGUGAACGAUGAAGGCCUUCGGGUCGUAAAGUUCUGUUGUUAGGGAAGAACAAGUACCGUUCAAAUAGGGCGGUACCUUGACGGUACCUAACCAGAAAGCCACGGCUAACUACGUGCCAGCCGCCGCGGUAAUUC
rnacentral:rRNA from 1 species